UGUUAAACGUAAACGGUACAACUCUGCAACAGAGGAAUCCAUGUGUACAGUGAAAGACAUAAUGAAAGAAGUCGAGAUGAAACUUCAAAAUGAAGAGAAGACAAAGCUCAAUGGUUUCCUGAAGAAUAAAAUCUCUGAUUUGGAGACAAGAAAAGGAAGCUGGUCGGUGUCUUUGGAAGAACCGGGAAUGGAAGAGC